ACGAUGAAGCUGGAGCUUGCUCCGGUGGAUUAGUGGCGAACGGGUGAGUAACACGUGAGCAAUCUGCCCUUGACUCUGGGAUAACUGCGGGAAACUGUAGCUAAUACCGGAUACUUUCCUUGGUGGGCAUCCACUGGGGAAGAAAGAAUUUCGGUCAAGGAUGAGCUCGCGGCCUAUCAGCUAGUUGGUGAGGUAAUGGCUCACCAAGGCGACGACGGGUAGCCGGCCUGAGAGGGUGACCGGCCACACUGGAACUGAGACACGGUCCAGACUCCUACGGGAGGCAGCAGUGGGGAAUAUUGCACAAUGGGCGAAAGCCUGAUGCAGCAACGCCGCGUGAGGGACGAAGGCCUUCGGGUUGUAAACCUCUUUUAGCAGGGAAGAAGCGAAAGUGACGGUACCUGCAGAAAAAGCACCGGCUAACUACGUGCCAGCAGCCGCGGUAAUACGUAGGGUGCAAGCGCUGCCCGGAAUUAUUGGGCGUAAAGAGCUCGUAGGCGGUUUGUCACGUCUGCUGUGAAAUUUCGAGGCUCAACCUCGAACUUGCAGUGGGUACGGGCAGGCUAGAGUGCGGUAGGGGAGAUGGGAAUUCCUGGUGUAGCGGUGGAAUGCGCAGAUAUCAGGAGGAACACCAAUGGCGAAGGCACAUCUCUGGGCCGUAACUGACGCUGAGGAGCGAAAGCGUGGGGAGCGAACAGGAUUAGAUACCCUGGUAGUCCACGCCGUAAACGGUGGGUGCUAGCUGUGGGCCACAUUCCACGUGGUCCGUGACGAAGUUAACACAUUAAGCACCCCGCCUGGGGAGUACG
rnacentral:rRNA from 1 species